GAUGAACGCUAGCUACAGGCUUAACACAUGCAAGUCGCGGGACCGGCGCACGGGUGAGUAACGCGGAUACAACCUGCCCUUCACCACGGGAUAACCCGGCGCACGUCGGACUAAUACCGUAUGGAGAUGGAUGGGGAUGCGUGCGAUUAGCUUGCCGGCGGGGUAAGGGCCCGCUGUGGCUACGAUCGGGAGGGGUGAUGAGAGGAAGGGCCCACAAACUGGAACUGAGACACGGUCCAGACUCCUACGGGAGGCAGCAGUGAGGAAUAUUGGUCAAUGGGCGUAAGCCUGAACCAGCCAAGUAGCGUGAAGGACGACGGCCUAUGUGUUGUAAACUGCUUUUAUGCGGGGAUAGGUACCGCAUGAAUAAGGACCGGCUAAUUCCGUGCCAGCAGCCGCGGUAAUAC
rnacentral:rRNA from 1 species